rnacentral:rRNA from 1 species
GAUGAACGCUGGCGGCGUGCCUAAUACAUGCAAGUCGAGCGAACGGACGAGGAGCUUGCUUCUCUGACGUUAGCGGCGGACGGGUGAGUAACACGUGGAUAACCUACCUAUAAGACUGGGAUAACUUCGGGAAACCGGAGCUAAUACCGGAUAAUAUUUUGAACCGCAGGGUUCAAUAGUAAAAGACGGUCUUGCUGUCACUUAUAGAUGGAUCCGCGCUGCAUUAGCUAGUUGGUAAGGUAACGGCUUACCAAGGCAACGAUGCGUAGCCGACCUGAGAGGGUGAUCGGCCACACGGGAACUGAGACACGGUCCAGACUCCUACGGGAGGCAGCAGUAGGGAAUCUUCCGCAAAGGGCGAAAGCCUGACGGAGCAACGCCGCGUGAGUGAUGAAGGUCUUCGGAUCGUAAAACUCUGUUAUUAGGGAAGAACAUAUGUGUAAGUAACUGUGCACAUCUUGACGGUACCUAAUCAGAAAGCCACGGCUAACUACGUG